rnacentral:tRNA from 1 species
GGGGGAUUAGCUCAUUUGGCUAGAGUACUUGCCUGGCAGGCAAGGGGUGACCGGUUCGAAUCCGGUAUCCUCCA